GAUAAGUUGGUUGCUAGGUAAACCCCAUUCUAAGAGGAGUAUGGCAUUUUUUAAAGAGGAAGCUAUUUGGGGAAGAGACAGCGAAGUUUUAACAAGUUCCCACAUACUGGGUUCUGAACGGAUUCUCUGCCAAGGGUCAGUCAAUACUUGAGCCUAUAAACCACUUGUGACAACUUUCUGUUCAAAUGUGUCAUUGCUCUUUAAGACAGUAUCUCAGGUCUGGAGAGGUCAGGUUAAGAGCAAUGACUGCUAUUUCAGAGGGGGUGAAUUUAAUUCCCAGCAACCACAUGGUGGCUCACAACCAUCUGUAAUGAGAUCUGAUCCCCUCUUCUGGUGAGGCUGAAGACAACAACACACUCAUAUAAAAUAAAUAAACAUUUAAAAAAUAAAAAAAAAGACAGUGUCUCAUUAUGUUGCCCAGGCUGGACUCAACCCUGAACCCUUCUAUUCCUCCUCCAGGUGCCAGAAUUGCAGGUGUACACCACCAUGCCCAGGCUUAAACAUCUAAUUUUAAAAUUUGAUGUUUUCAAACAAAAUAAGGUCUAGGUGGGUGGUGUUGUUUGCUUUUUUGUUUUAAUCGGGAUAAUCGCAAACAUGUAACAGACACACAGUGACAUUUAGGUAACAUCUGAAGCAAUGGAGACAGGCACACCAGAGUUGACACAUUGUAACAGUGCUUCCGGGCCUGCUCUUUGUUUACAGCCAGGAGGACAUGUUUAACCCCGGUUUAUGUUUAACCUCGGGUUCACCAGCACACAGAUUAACUGUGGUUCGGAUUAGAACACUCCUUCUGGUGCUAAUUGUUGGGUGUUGGGGGAGGGGGUUUUUGAUCCUUUCCAAUCUGAAACUACUGAUUUCUUCCUGUGUUCCCUUUCUCAAAUCUGACACCCCCAAACAUGUGGAGUGCAUUCCCCAUGGCUGGCUGCACCCCCUACACACACACACACACACACACACACACACACACACACACACACCACACACCAUACACAUCUCUAGUGGUAACUCAUCCUCCUCCGAACAGCAGCCCAGGAGUGCCUGACACAAAAGGACCACAACAGUGAGGACGGUCUCUGUAAUGACAAUUUUGGACUUUUGUUUUUUUUACAAGACACGGAGGUAUUAUAAGAAUACGUUUUUGGUUUAGUCCCAGGUGUGGGAUAUGAGGUUGCUUUACCUUGUCCACAGCAACUGACUAUGAUUUGCCUCGUGCUCUAGCAGGGGUUCAUUUUGCCUGAGGCAGGUAGCUUCUGUGAUUGUGUGACUUUGGGAUUCUGGGGACUUUUCAAAGGGUACAUAAAUGCGAGGUCCCUGAGAAGCCACGCAGGUUGCUGGUUAGUGGUUGGUUGCUGUUGGUCAUUGUUAGUUGCAGUUUAUUAAGUAGUCCUGCCGCAGAAGAAGAAAUUAGAUAUCCUGACAGUGAAGAUGAAAUUUUCCCCAAGGAACUCAAUGCCCCUAAUCAGCAGUAAGUAGUCUAAAGAUAAUGUCACCCCAUUUCAAUUCUACCCUUUUGUCAUCUAGUGUUAGGAGGUUGAAAGGGAAGAAAUAGGGUGGAGAAGGAUGGAAGAAAGAAGAACUUACAAAGUAGCCAAAACCCAACUACAAGUUUCCAUGGCAACUCCUGUGCUCAGGACCCCUGGGAAGGCCACAAGAUCCAAACACAGGACACUCUGUUCUGUCUCCCAACCCAAGCUGGAUUCACUCACCAUCUGGAGUGGACACUGGCCCAAAUCCUGAGGACACAACCCUGUUUGCGAUUGGCAUCUGUGCAGCCUGACUCGGGAUAGCUCCCAUCUGCCUGAGGUCCAGGCUUUGGCUUAGGCUGAACGCUACCUGCUUGCCAGAUUCCACCCAAGGAAUGCCUGCCGCCUUCCCUUUGCCCAGCUGUGUGAUGUCUGGGACCAGCUUUCAAAAGAGACUUGACCUGGGACGUGAGCUACCCUGGGAACAAGAUGUAGAACUCUCAGCUCCUCCAGUACCACACCUGCCUGGAUGCUGCCGUGCUUCCUGCCAUGAUGAUAAUGGACUGAACCUCUGAGCCUUUACACCACACCCAAUUAAAUGUUGUUCUUU
ensembl:lincRNA Gm36186 predicted gene, 36186